AGGAUCAUUAUUGAAUUGUAGUUGGGUUGUUGCUGGCUCUUCGGAGCAUGUGCACGCCCAAACAUCAAUCCAUCUUAUCACCCUGUGCACCUUUUGUAGGCUGGGGAUUUACUUCCCGGUCUAUGCUUUUUAUAACACCCCUUUGCAUGUCUAUGAAUGUCAUUUUAUAAGGCUUUGUUGCCUAUAAACCCCUAAUACAACUUUCAACAACGGAUCUCUUGGCUCUCGCAUCGAUGAAGAACGCAGCGAAAUGCGAUAAGUAAUGUGAAUUGCAGAAUUCAGUGAAUCAUCGAAUCUUUGAACGCACCUUGCGCUCCUUGGUAUUCCGAGGAGCAUGCCUGUUUGAGUGUCAUUGAAUUCUCAACCUCUUCAACUUUGUUUAGUUGAUUAGGCUUGGAUUUUGGGAGCUUUGCGGGCUUCUCGGAAGUCGGCUCUCCUUAAAUGAAUUAGCGGGACCCUUCUUAAUAUUGGCCUUAGCUUUGGUGUGAUAAUUAUCUACGCCAUGGUGGGCCAGUAGCUUUGUCUGAGGGGAUCUGCUCCUAAAUGUCUCUUUGUAGACAACAUUUGACAAUUUGACCUCAAAUCAGGUAGGACUACCCGCUGAACUUAAGCAUAUCAAUAAGCGGAGGAAAAGAAACUAACAAGGAUUCCCCUAGUAACUGCGAGUGAAGCGGGAAAAGCUCAAAUUUAAAAUCUGGAGGUCUUGUGGCCUUCCGAGUUGUAAUCUAGAGAAGUGCUAUCCGCGCUGGACCGUGUACAAGUCUCCUGGAACGGAGCGUCAUAGAGGGUGAGAAUCCCGUCUUUGACACGGACUACCAGGGCUUAUGUGAUGCGCUCUCAAAGAGUCGAGUUGUUUGGGAAUGCAGCUCUAAAUGGGUGGUAAAUUCCAUCUAAAGCUAAAUAUUGGCGAGAGACCGAUAGCGAACAAGUACCGUGAGGGAAAGAUGAAAAGAACUUUGGAAAGAGAGUUAAACAGUACGUGAAAUUGUUGAAAGGGAAACGCUUGAAGUCAGUCGCGUUGGCCGAGAGUCAACCUUGCUUUUGCUUGGCGUACUUCUUGGUGAACGGGUCAGCAUCAAUUUUGACCGGUGGAUAAAGGUCAGGGGAAUGUGGCAUCUUCGGAUGUGUUUAUAGCCCUUGGUUGUAUACGUCGGUUAGGAUUGAGGAACUCAGCACGCCGCAAGGCCGGGUUUAAACC
rnacentral:rRNA from 1 species